AUUGGGGCUUCGAGUUGACUUUUCAUAAAAGACUGAUAUGUGUGUGGCUACGAGCAAUCAGCAGGGAUCCUCUUUAUCAUGUCUCUCAGCAGUGGUGAUCAUCAACCCAUGCUCAGGUAUCGAGUUCUGAACUCAUAUUAGAGGUAGAUCUGAUCUACUGCUCACAUGUAUGCAUGCAGAUUUUAUCUUCUGUUCUUGUUCAGAUUUUAUAUACAUCAUAUCAUGUCAUAGAUCCUAGAGU
rnacentral:lncRNA from 1 species